rnacentral:rRNA from 1 species
CCUACGGGAGGCAGCAGUGAGGAAUAUUGGACAAUGGGCGAAAGCCUGAUCCAGCCAUGCCGCGUGUGUGAAGAAGGUCUUCGGAUUGUAAAGCACUUUAAGUUGGGAGGAAGGGCAUUAACCUAAUACGUUAGUGUUUUGACGUUACCGACAGAAUAAGCACCGGCUAAC